CGUCCGCGGUGCAACCGGGCAGAGGUUGGGCCAGUGGCAUUCUGGAGCUCAGCAAACCAGCUACAAGCAGCACAGAUGGGCACACACGGCUGUGAACCUGAAAAUGUUGGCCAAAGGUUAUGGAUCUGUCAGAGACAGAUCCACCUGGAAGAAAGCUUCCAAAAGGAAACAAAUCUGAAGUAAUAGGAAGAUUGCCUGUCCUGGUUGGCCAGAAAUGGAGAAUCCGGUCACAGAGUGUUCCUGAAAGGUGGAGAAUGAACUGAAAAUAACUUGCAAGGGACAGCCCAAAACAUAGAUGGCUCCUAAGCUGUUUUGGCUCGACCUACAGAGCUUGAAAUCUGCUAUUUCCCACUGGAAGAGGUGAGAAGAGUCCAUUUCUAACGCCAUACAUAAUAGUACAAAUGUUAAGGUUGUUUUUGUGGAAACAA